GAUGAACGCUAGCGGCAGGCUUAACACAUGCAAGUCGAGGGGUAUUGGUUUUCGGACCAAGAGACCGGCGCACGGGUGCGUAACGCGUAUGCAAUCUACCUUUUGCAGAGGGAUAGCCCCAGAGAAAUUUGGAUUAAUACCUCAUAGUAUAGUACUUUGGCAUCAAGGAACUAUUAAAGUCACAACGGCAAAGAUGAGCAUGCGUCCCACUUAGCUAGUUGGUAAGGUAACGGCUUACCAAGGCUACGAUGGGUAGGGGUCCGUGAGAGGGAGAUCCCCACACUGGUACUGAGACACGGACCAGACUCCUACGGAGGCAGCAGUGAGGAAU
rnacentral:rRNA from 1 species